rnacentral:rRNA from 1 species
UACGAAGGGGCUAGCGUUGUCCGGAUUUAUUGGGCGUAAAGAGCUCGUAGGCGGCUUGUCGCGUCGAAUGUGAAAACUCGGGGCUCAACUCCGAGCUUGCAUUCGAUACGGGCAGGCUAGAGUUCGGUAGGGGAGACUGGAAUUCCUGGUGUAGCGGUGAAAUGCGUAGAUAUCAGGAGGAACACCUGUGGUGUAGACAGCUUACUGGACCACUUCUGACGCUGAGACACGAAAGCGUGGGUAGCAAACAGG